rnacentral:rRNA from 1 species
UAGGGAAGAACAAGUGCGAGAGUAACUGCUCGCACCAUGACGGUACCUAACCAGAAAGCCACGGCUAACUACGUGCCAGCAGCCGCGGUAAUACGUAGGUGGCAAGCGUUGUCCGGAAUUAUUGGGCGUAAAGGGCUCGCAGGCGGUUUCUUAAGUCUGAUGUGAAAGCCCCCGGCUCAACCGGGGAGGGUCAUUGGAAACUGGGAAACUUGAGUG